rnacentral:rRNA from 1 species
GUAGUCAACCUACCCUAUGGACGGAAAUAACCUCGGGAAACUGAGAAUAAUAUCCGAUAGAACAUUAUGCCUGGAAUGGUUUAUGUUCCAAAUGAUUUAUCGCCGUAGGAUGGGACUGCGGCCUAUCAGUUUGUUGGUGAGGUAAUGGCCCACCAAGACUAUUACAGGUACGGGCUCUGAGAGGAGUAGCCCGGAGAUGGGUACUGAGACACGGACCCAGGCCCUAUGGGGCGCAGCAGGCGAGAAAACUUUGCAAUGUGCGAAAGCACGACAAGGUUAAUCCGAGUGAUUUCUGCUAAAGAAAUCUUUUGUCAGUCCUAGAAACACUAACGAAUAGGGGUGGGCAAGUUCUGGUGUCAGCCGCCGCGGUAAAACCAGCACCUCAAGUGGUCAGGAUGAUUAUUGGGCCUAAAGCAUCCGUAGCCGGCUCUGUAAGUCCUCGGUUAAAUCUGUACGCUUAACGUACAGGCUGCCGGGAAUACUGCAUAGCUAGGGAGUGGGAGAGGUAGACGGUACUCGGUAGGAAGGGGUAAAAUCCUUUGAUCUAUUGAUGACCACCUGUGGCGAAGGCGGUCUACCAGAACACGUCCGACGGUGAGGGAUGAAAGCUGGGGGAGCAAACCGGAUUAGAUACCCGGGUAGUCCCAGCUGUAAACUAUGCAAACUCAGUGAUGCAUUGGCUUGUGGCCAAUGCAGUGCUGCAGGGAAGCCGUUAAGUUUGCCGCCUGGGAAGUACGUACGCAAGUAUGAAACUUA